AGUGAACGCUGGCGGUAGGCCUAACACAUGCAAGUCGAACGGCAGCACAGUAAGAGCUUGCUCUUACGGGUGGCGAGUGGCGGACGGGUGAGGAAUACAUCGGAAUCUACUUUUUCGUGGGGGAUAACGUAGGGAAACUUACGCUAAUACCGCAUACGACCUACGGGUGAAAGCAGGGGAUCUUCGGACCUUGCGCGAUUGAAUGAGCCGAUGUCGGAUUAGCUAGUUGGCGGGGUAAAGGCCCACCAAGGCGACGAUCCGUAGCUGGUCUGAGAGGAUGGUCGGCCGCACUGGAGCUGAGACACGGUCCAGACUCCUACGGGAGGCAGCAGUGGGGAAUAGUGGACAGUGGGCGCGAGCCUGAUCCAGCCAUACCGCGUGGGUGGAGAAGGCCUUCGGGUUGUAAAGCCCUUUUGUUGGGAAAGAAAAGCAGCAGGUUAAUACGCCGCUGUUCUGACGGUACCCAGAGAAUAAGCACCGGCUAACUACGUG
rnacentral:rRNA from 1 species